rnacentral:rRNA from 1 species
UACAUAGGGUGCAAGCGUUGUCCGGAAUUAUUGGGCGUAAAGAGCUCGUAGGUGGUUCGUCACGUCGGAUGUGAAACUCUGGGGCUUAGCCCCAGACCUGCAUUCGAUACGGGCGAGCUUGAGUAUGGUAGGGGAGUCUGGAAUUCCUGGUGUAGCGGUGGAAUGCGCAGAUAUCAGGAGGAACACCAAUGGCGAAGGCAGGUCUCUGGGCCAAUACUGACACUGAGGAGCGAAAGCGUGGGGAGCGAACAGG